AGGACGAACGCUGGCGGCGUGCUUAACACAUGCAAGUCGAGCGGAAAGGCCCUUCGGGGUACUCGAGCGGCGAACGGGUGAGUAACACGUGAGCAACCUGCCCUUAGCUUCGGGAUAGCUCCGGGAAACCGGAAUUAAUACCGAAUAUGAUUUUUGCUGACAUCAGCAGAAGUGGAAAGUUUUUCGGCUAGGGAUGGACUCGCGGCCUAUCAGCUAGUUGGUGAGGUAACGGCCCACCAAGGCGACGACGGGUAGCCGGCCUGAGAGGGCGACCGGCCACACUGGGACUGAGACACGGCCCAGACUCCUACGGGAGGCAGCAGUGGGGAAUAUUGCGCAAUGGGCGAAAGCCUGACGCAGCGACGCCGCGUGGGGGAUGAAUGCCUUCGGUGUAACCCUUUCAGCAGGGACGAAGCGAAAGUGACGGUACCUGCAGAAGAAGCGCCGGCUAACUACGCGCCAGCAGCCGC
rnacentral:rRNA from 1 species